ensembl:lncRNA
CAAUGAGCUCGGCGGUGCUGAAUCUCAGCUAAUCUUCCAAACAGAAUGGAUUGCUUCGGGGAGGAUGUGACCAUUAUCCCGUUGUCCUUGCACACCAUCCAGCAGAUAAUGUUUCUUGUGCGUUGUUAUACCGCAUCAAAAUGAUUACAAUGCGACCAUCUUCCCUGGAGUCCUAGCAUGUGGACGGCGGCCAGCUUGCUUUAAUCUCAUGUGAAACAAAGGGCUUCCAACUCAACAGGGAGCCUUGUUUGUUAGAACCACACACCACAUCAACACCUGUAGGAGCCUAAAUGCCUCUUUGCUUUAUUUAAGUUCAUAUUUCACUAUGACGUUUGGAUUUUCAAAAGUGAAAUAAUAUAAUAGUUAAUUGUGUCAAUUUCGAAUACAUAGAAUCUUAUUUUGAAAUUCCCUUGCAAUAUUUUUGGUGUAUGCGCACAUUUAGUUGCUUUAUUUUGAAGCGUGAGGGGAACUUAAUUGUGUUAACUACCGGUGACAUUGUCAGGAUAACAAGCGUGGAGCCACACAGUUAGACCUAAUGAUCCUACAACACCCUCUCUCUCUCGCUGUCUCUCUGACGGAGUUGGUCGUGUUGAGAGCAGUGCGUGAUCAGUUUGGCUUUUUUGUAAUUCUUAUGUUUCUUUUGGUUUAUUUUUUUUCUAAACAAAUAGCUGUAUAAAACCAAGUGUAACAUUAUUUGAAAAAAACGCGAUGGUGGAUAAAUUGAUCGAGGAAGGGCUUGUUAUUAUGGACUCAUUUGUUCAAGUUUUGCCACUAUCGUCCCCUGCCUAGAGGGUUAUUCUUUCCAAUGUACCCCCGUAUUUCGAAAAUGAGAUUUUGGAGAGGAUCCUCUCAAGAUACGGGAAACAAACAGCACGGAUAAGGCCGGUCCUAGUCGGCUUUAAAAAAACGACUUUGGUUCAUGUAGAGAGUUUCAGGGUGCAAACCUUCAUGAUUUUAAAUGAACAGCAUCGGGACAUGGAUGUGGCUGUCAAACUGGUGCAGGGGGGGUAAGGACUAUGUAAUAUACAUUUCCACAAACACCAUUUAAUGUUUUGCAUGUGGAGAACACAGAAAUGUCAGCAGAUCAUGCCCGAAUAUGGCGCAGGGUGAGCGCAUAACCGGUCCCACACCAAAACCACCGGGACCUGUUGCGGAGCUACGGACACCUGGUCUCGUGCCAACACCACCGGGACCUGUUGCGGAUUUACUGACACUUGGUCCAGCAACAACACCAUCGGGACCUAUUGCGGACUCCCAGACACCCGGUUCUUCUAGUGCUGGAGCACAGAGGUCAUUCAGGUGGCAGGACAAACAGUUUUUCCCAACACCUCAGCAGCCACCGACCAUCGCAGCUGAUGAGGACCCAGAGAUCGCCGCUUCGCUGGAGGCCGACACUGAGGAGGACGCGUACCGAACGGCGGGUCUACAGCAGCCAAAACCAGUCAGCCAACCAGAGCGGAGCAGCGGCAAACGCAAAGCGAAGAGCAGUGCGAGCCAGGCUGGGGGCGAAAAACAGGGCGCAGAACGAGCUCUUUGGAGAGAAGUGGGGCGGUUUUGAAGAUGAAUCUGAAAUCAAUUUGAAUGAAUGCCGGGAAGUAACCAUGGAAAAUGUGCAGCAGCCUGUAGAGGGGGAAAGUAUGGAUGCUCUGGGGAAGUUUGUUCGGAAGGAGUGUCACUCCGACCAAGAUAAUCCCCCACAGUGGGAAUUGGAAUGGAAGGGACCAGUGUUCUUGGCUCUAGUUUUAGUGCUGGAGUAGCUACUCUUUUCUCCCCUGGUCUACCUUGGCAAGGUAUGUUUCAUGUGAGCAUUAUAGCAGGAUGCCUACAUAGGGUUGAUGCCUCCUUAGAUGGAAUGGCUUUUUCAUUUUUCAACAUCUACGCUCCGUGCGAAGGCAAGGAGAGAUGUGUUUUCUUUAAAGCGCUGUCAAACGCAUUGAAAAGCUGCCCCCCA